rnacentral:rRNA from 1 species
AAUGAACGUUGGCGGCGUGGAUUGGGCAUGCGAGUCGUGCGAGAACCGUAGCAAUACGGGGACAGCGGCGAAAGGGAGAGGAACACGUGGAUACCUACCCUCAGGUUCAGGAUAGCUAUGGGAAACUAUAGGUAAUACUGAAUGAUAUCUCCGGAUCAAAGGUGUGAUUCCGCCGGAGGAGGGGUCUGCGUCCUAUUAGCUAGUUGGUGUGGUAACGGCUCACCAAGGCAAAGAUGGGUACGGGGUGUGAGAGCAUGAUCCCGCUCAUUGGGACUGAGACACUGCCCAGACACCUACGGGUGGCUGCAGUCGAGAAUCUUCGGCAAUGGGGGAAACCCUGACCGAGCGACGCCGCGUGUGAGAUGAAGGCCUUCGGGUUGUAAAUCACUGUCGUAGGGGAGGAAAUAUUGGUGGGUUCUCCCAUCAGUUUGACCUAUCCUAGGAGGAAGGACGGGCUAAGUUCGUGCCAGCCGCCGCAGUAA